CAGGGAACAGGACCAACGCCUCCCGCAUUCUGAGAGAUCAGGGCUCCAGCAGCUCCGCAGACAGCGACCCGUCUGUGCCCUGCAGAGAGCAGGAGAUCCCCAGCUUCGAGGAGUGGACCAAGAUCAUGCUGAAGGUGGAGAACCAGAAGAGUGAGUCGUGUUGAGACCGGAGCUGCUCCUGCUCUCGCUGACAGUGUUUCUGUCCAUCAGGUCAGAUCACACACCUUUCUGACAGCCUUCACGCUGCGGGGAAGAAGCUUCAGCAGACCGUCACCAACUACGCCUCUGUGGAGUGUGGAGCCAAGAUCCUGUCCUCCAACCCUGAGGCCAAGGUUCAUCAGCAUGUCUGAUCCCGUCUGUGUUUGACACAGAGUUACUGUGAGACAGGCACUGAACUCCAGAAGCACUUCUGCUAUUCUGAUGGAGAGCAUGUACAUGCUGAAUCCCUGCAAUAAGAUCUGGCGGGCUGAUUAGACUGUUUGUUUUAACGUCAGGCAAAACUAUUCUGUGUGAUAAUUGUUGUGUGUUGCUGUGAUUGAUCUGAAGUCUUGCCGUUGUGUUUGCUGUGUGAAAUCACUCAAUAGCCUGUGUUUAGUACCUAGACAGACUUUCCAGACAGAUAACAGCAGGAUCUGUGUUAUUCCUCAUAUGAGUGUUUGUGAAAUGAAGAGCACUAGAGAGAGCCGUCAGCAGUGAUGGAGAAGCUCUGUGGUCUUCACCGUCUCCUCAUCGUGAGCUCUGUCAGCCCAUUCAUCUCAAGCAGCUGGACAUCGCUAACUUUGAGAUCUCCUCCUCAAACCCCAAAGUCUUCCUGGUGUCCAUCAGUGACAGUGUGUGAAGCUCGGGACGUUUCAUGCACGUGA
rnacentral:lncRNA from 1 species